CAGAGUUUGAUCCUGGCUCAGGACGAACGCUGGCGGCGUGCUUAACACAUGCAAGUCGAACGAAGAGCGAUGGAAGCUUGCUUCUAUCAAUCUUAGUGGCGAACGGGUGAGUAACGCGUAAUCAACCUGCCCUUCAGAGGGGGACAACAGUUGGAAACGACUGCUAAUACCGCAUACGAUCURACCUCGGCAUCGAGGAURGAUGAAAGGUGGCCUCUAUUUAUAAGCUAUCACUGAAGGAGGGGAUUGCGUCUGAUUAGCUAGUUGGAGGGGUAACGGCCCACCAAGGCGAUGAUCAGUAGCCGGUCUGAGAGGAUGAACGGCCACAUUGGGACUGAGACACGGCCCAGACUCCUACGGGAGGCAGCAGUGGGGAAUCUUCCGCAAUGGACGAAAGUCUGACGGAGCAACGCCGCGUGAGUGAUGACGGCCUUCGGGUUGUAAAGCUCUGUUAAUCGGGACAWDRGCCUUCUUG
rnacentral:rRNA from 1 species